UAUGGUGUCAAAAAAUGUCAUGAUAUAGUAUGGUGUCAAAAAACAAAAAUUUAUCAUAGUAUAGUAAGGAGUCAAAAAAUGUCAAAACAUCAUAAUUUCGUACAGUGUAAAAAAUGGUGAAAAAAAUGUUCUAGUACAGUAUGGUGUCAACAAGCGCAAAAAAAGGUCAUAGUAUAGUAUGGCGUCAAAACGUUUCAAAAAAUGACAUAGUAUAGUAUGGUGUCAAAAAAUGUCAUGAUAUAGUAUGGUGUCAAAAAACAUAAAAAUUUGUAAUAGUAUAGUAAGGAGUCAAAAAAUGUCAAAACAUCAUAAUUUCGUACAGUGUAAAAAAUGGUGAAAAAAAUGUUCUAGUAUAGUAUGGUGUCAAAAAGCGCAAAAAAAGGUCAUAGUAUAGUAUGGCGUCAAAACGUUUCAAAAAAUGACAUAGUAUAGUAUGGUGUCAAAAAAUGUCAUGAUAUAGUAUGGCGUCAAAAAACAUAAAAAUUUGUAAUAGUAUAGUAAGGAGUCAAAAAAUGUCAAAACGUCUUAAUUUAGUACAGUGUAAAAAAUGGUGAAAAAAAUGUUCUAGUAUAGUAUGGUGUCAAAAAGCGCAAAAAAAGGUCAUAGUAUAGUAUGGCGUCAAAACGUUUCAAAAAAUGACAUAGUAUAGUAUGGUGUCAAAAAAUGUCAUGAUAUAGUAUGGUGUCAAAAAACAAAAAUUUAUCAUAGUAUAGUAAGGAGUCAAAAAAUGUCAAAACAUCAUAAUUUCGUACAGUGUAAAAAAUGGUGAAAAAAAUGUUCUAGUACAGUAUGGUGUCAACAAGCGCAAAAAAAGGUCAUAGUAUAGUAUGGCGUCAAAACGUUUCAAAAAAUGACAUAGUAUAGUAUGGUGUCAAAAAAUGUCAUGAUAUAGUAUGGUGUCAAAAAACAUAAAAAUUUGUAAUAGUAUAGUAAGGAGUCAAAAAAUGUCAAAACGUCUUAAUUUAGUACAGUGUAAAAAAUGGUGAAAAAAAUGUUCUAGUAUAGUAUGGUGUCAAAAAGCGCAAAAAAAAGGUCAUAGUAUAGUAUGGCGUCAAAAAAUGUAUUAGUAUAGUAAGGAGUCAAAAUAUAUCAAAAAAUGACAAUACAGUAUGGCGUCAAAAAUGGUCAAAAAAUGUCAUAGUAUAAUGUCAAAAAACAUAAAAAUUUGUCAUAGUAUAGUAAGGAGUCAAAAAAUGUCAAAACGUCAUAAUUUCGUACAGUGUAAAAAAUGGUGAAAAAAAUGUUCUAGUAUAGUAUGGUGUCAAAAAGCGCAAAAAAAGGUCAUAGUAUAGUAUGGCGUCAAAACGUUUCAAAAAAUGACAUAGUAUAGUAUGGUGUCAAAAAAUGUCAUGAUAUAGUAUGGCGUCAAAAAACAAAAAUUUGUAAUAGUAUAGUAAGGAGUCAAAAAAUGUCAAAACGUCAUAAUUUAGUACAGUGUAAAAAAUGGUGAAAAAAAUGUUCUAGUAUAGUAUGGUGUCAAAAAGCGCAAAAAAAAGGUCAUAGUAUAGUAUGGCGUCAAAAAAUGUAUUAGUAUAGUAAGGAGUCAAAAUAUAUCAAAAAAUGACAAUACAGUAUGGCGUCAAAAAUGGUCAAAAAAUGUCAUAGUAUAAUGUCAAAAAACAUAAAAAUUUGUCAUAGUAUAGUAAGGAGUCAAAAAAUGUCAAAACGUCAUAAUUUCGUACAGUGUAAAAAAUGGUGAAAAAAAUGUUCUAGUAUAGUAUGGUGUCAAAAAGCGCAAAAAAAGGUCAUAGUAUAGUAUGGCGUCAAAACGUUUCAAAAAAUGACAUAGUAUAGUAUGGUGUCAAAAAAUGUCAUGAUAUAGUAUGGCGUCAAAAAACAAAAAUUUGUAAUAGUAUAGUAAGGAGUCAAAAAAUGUCAAAACGUCAUAAUUUAGUACAGUGUAAAAAAUGGUGAAAAAAAUGUUCUAGUAUAGUAUGGUGUCAAAAAGCGCAAAAAAAGGUCAUAGUAUAGUAUGGCGUCAAAACGUUUCAAAAAAUGACAUAGUAUAGUAUGGUGUCAAAAAAUGUCAUGAUAUAGUAUGGUGUCAAAAAACAAAAAUUUAUCAUAGUAUAGUAAGGAGUCAAAAAAUGUCAAAACAUCAUAAUUUCGUACAGUGUAAAAAAUGGUGAAAAAAAUGUUCUAGUACAGUAUGGUGUCAACAAGCGCAAAAAAAGGUCAUAGUAUAGUAUGGCGUCAAAACGUUUCAAAAAAUGACAUAGUAUAGUAUGGUGUCAAAAAAUGUCAUGAUAUAGUAUGGUGUCAAAAAACAAAAAUUUAUCAUAGUAUAGUAAGGAGUCAAAAAAUGUCAAAACAUCAUAAUUUCGUACAGUGUAAAAAAUGGUGAAAAAAAUGUUCUAGUACAGUAUGGUGUCAACAAGCGCAAAAAAAGGUCAUAGUAUAGUAUGGCGUCAAAACGUUUCAAAAAAUGACAUAGUAUAGUAUGGUGUCAAAAAAUGUCAUGAUAUAGUAUGGUGUCAAAAAACAAAAAUUUAUCAUAGUAUAGUAAGGAGUCAAAAAAUGUCAAAACAUCAUAAUUUCGUACAGUGUAAAAAAUGGUGAAAAAAAUGUUCUAGUACAGUAUGGUGUCAACAAGCGCAAAAAAAGGUCAUAGUAUAGUAUGGCGUCAAAACGUUUCAAAAAAUGACAUAGUAUAGUAUGGUGUCAAAAAAUGUCAUGAUAUAGUAUGGUGUCAAAAAACAUAAAAAUUUGUAAUAGUAUAGUAAGGAGUCAAAAAAUGUCAAAACAUCAUAAUUUCGUACAGUGUAAAAAAUGGUGAAAAAAAUGUUCUAGUAUAGUAUGGUGUCAAAAAGCGCAAAAAAAGGUCAUAGUAUAGUAUGGCGUCAAAACGUUUCAAAAAAUGACAUAGUAUAGUAUGGUGUCAAAAAAUGUCAUGAUAUAGUAUGGCGUCAAAAAACAUAAAAAUUUGUAAUAGUAUAGUAAGGAGUCAAAAAAUGUCAAAACGUCUUAAUUUAGUACAGUGUAAAAAAUGGUGAAAAAAAUGUUUAUUAUAGUAUGGUGUCAAAAAGCGCAAAAAAAGGUCAUAGUAUAGUAUGGCGUCAAAACGUUUCAAAAAAUGACAUAGUAUAGUAUGGUGUCAAAAAAUGUCAUGAUAUAGUAUGGCGUCAAAAAACAUAAAAAAUUGUAAUAGUAUAGUAAGGAGUCAAAAAAUGUCAAAACGUCUUAAUUUAGUACAGUGUAAAAAAUGGUGAAAAAAAUGUUCUAGUAUAGUAUGGUGUCAAAAAGCGCAAAAAAAGGUCAUAGUAUAGUAUGGCGUCAAAACGUUUCAAAAAAUGACAUAGUAUAGUAUGGUGUCAAAAAACAAAAAUUUAUCAUAGUAUAGUAAGGAGUCAAAAAAUGUCAAAACAUCAUAAUUUCGUACAGUGUAAAAAAUGGUGAAAAAAAUGUUCUAGUACAGUAUGGUGUCAACAAGCGCAAAAAAAGGUCAUAGUAUAGUAUGGCGUCAAAACGUUUCAAAAAAUGACAUAGUAUAGUAUGGUGUCAAAAAAUGUCAUGAUAUAGUAUGGUGUCAAAAAACAUAAAAAUUUGUAAUAGUAUAGUAAGGAGUCAAAAAAUGUCAAAACGUCUUAAUUUAGUACAGUGUAAAAAAUGGUGAAAAAAAUGUUCUAGUAUAGUAUGGUGUCAAAAAGCGCAAAAAAAAGUCAUAGUAUAGUAUGACGUCAAAAAAUGUCAAAACGUCAUAAUUUAGUACAGUGUAAAAAAUGGUGAAAAAAAUGUUCUAGUAUAGUAUGGUGUCAAAAAGCGCAAAAAAAGGUCAUAGUAUAGUAUGGCGUCAAAACGUUUCAAAAUAUGACAUAGUAUAGUAUGGUGUCAAAAAAUAUAAAAAUUUGUAAUAGUAUAGUAAGGAGUCAAAAAAUGUCAAAACGUCUUAAUUUAGUACAGUGUAAAAAAUGGUGAAAAAAAUGUUUAUUAUAGUAUGGUGUCAAAAAGCGCAAAAAAAAGUCAUAGUAUAGUAUGACGUCAAAAAAUGUCAAAACGUCAUAAUUUAGUACAGUGUAAAAAAUGGUGAAAAAAAUGUUCUAGUACAGUAUGGUGUCAAAAAGCGCAAAAAAAGGUCAUAGUAUAGUAUGGCGUCAAAACGUUUCAAAAAAUGACAUAGUAUAGUAUGGUGUCAAAAAAUGUCAUGAUAUAGUAUGGCGUCAAAAAACAUAAAAAUUUGUAAUAGUAUAGUAAGGAGUCAAAAAAUGUCAAAACGUCUUAAUUUAGUACAGUGUAAAAAAUGGUGAAAAAAAUGUUUAUUAUAGUAUGGUGUCAAAAAGCAGAAAAAAAAUAUUGUAUACUAUGGCGGCUAAACAUGUCAAAACAUCAUAGUUUAGUAUGGCAUUAACAAAAAUGUCACAGUAUAGCAAGGUGUCAAAAAACUUUAAAAAAUAUCAUAGUAUUAGUAAGGCAGCACAAAACAUCAAAAAAUAUCACAUCCAAAGGCAUUUUCUUAGUCACAUGGAAGCUACUAAUGUAACUGGUUUUAGUUUACCUUACCUUGUGUAUCACAAAUUGUAUCAGGAUAGGAUGUAACUUUGCUAAUGUAUGUAUUGACUUCAGCUUUGUUGUUGUUUAUGUUUACAGUCAGGUUAAUGAUUAAUGUUACCAUGUUUGCACAUGACUUUGCAUGCAACAGAAGAAUAUCCACCCUUUGACCUGCCACCUUCUGACUUGGCCUUCAAGGAACACUCCUUUGUUAAUCUAACCCAUGUGCCAUGAAGUCAAUCCUAGAGGCCAUCUUCUUUUUCAGCCAUCUUAGUUUUAAAUCCUUUGUUGUAAGCCAUGCAGUUUAAGACAAUGGAACUGCCUUAAAGCAGCCAUCUUAUUUUUGUUUUCCACAGACACACACACACACACACACCUCUACCCAGUGUUUGUAGAUCAGGUUAUAUUUUGUGUUUGUCAUGUCACUUUGGUAUUUGU